rnacentral:rRNA from 1 species
AAACCAACAGGGAUUGCCUUAGUAACGGCGAGUGAAGCGGCAAAAGCUCAAAUUUGAAAUCUGGCACCUUCGGUGUCCGAGUUGUAAUUUGAAGAAGGUAACUUUGGAGUUGGCUCUUGUCUAUGUUCCUUGGAACAGGACGUCACAGAGGGUGAGAAUCCCGUGCGAUGAGAUGCCCAAUUCUAUGUAAAGUGCUUUCGAAGAGUCGAGUUGUUUGGGAAUGCAGCUCUAAGUGGGUGGUAAAUUCCAUCUAAAGCUAAAUAUUGGCGAGAGACCGAUAGCGAACAAGUACAGUGAUGGAAAGAUGAAAAGAACUUUGAAAAGAGAGUGAAAAAGUACGUGAAAUUGUUGAAAGGGAAGGGCUUGAGAUCAGACUUGGUAUUUUGCGAUCCUUUCCUUCUUGGUUGGGUUCCUCGCAGCUUACUGGGCCAGCAUCGGUUUGGAUGGUAGGAUAAUGACUAAGGAAUGUGGCUCUACUUCGGUGGAGUGUUAUAGCCUUGGUUGAUACUGCCUGUCUAGACCGAGGACUGCGUCUU